ensembl:lncRNA
CAAACAAGCAUUACAAGUGUCGGCUGCAUGCCACAGACCAGGGGGUUGGGAGGCAAAUUCUGUGGAAACGCAUAUUGAGGUACGUUUAACCUUAAGAAAUUAGAUAAGAGAAUGUGUAAGCUGAUGAAUGAAAACUGCAGUUUGAAAAGUGCAGUUUUGGCUCUUGGCACUACCAAAAGAAGUGGAGAAAGUGAAAGUGCUACAGAAGUAGUGGUUGACAGGGGACAUUUUGGGCUGUCAGUUAUUCUGUGGGUUCCUUUUUUUCCACUGCAACUUUACCUUGACGGUUAAUGAGUGACUACAGUCUCUUUUCUCAAACGUUUCAAAACAGGCCAGGGCAAGGUACAUAGAGACGAAGCAAUAACUGAAGUGUUGAACAGUCUGGAAAUAUCAAUUCGUUGUGUGAAGUGUAGUGUUUAUUUGUUCAAACAACAAAGAACUUUGAUAGAGGUUUAGAGAAGAAGUUUAUCAUAUAAUUACAGUAUGUAUUUACCUAAAAUUGUUACUUUGUGAGUUGAUCAUACAGUGUAGUGCUAAAAUCUGCACGUUACAAAAAUGAUCUUUUAACCACAGUUUUGAGAUGGCCCCACGCAAAGCUACCACUGACUUUUUUCCCCCCAAUAACAGCAUGUUCUGAAGUGUUUUUUCCCCCUCUUAUACCUCAACAACUUGCCACUAACAAUUUUUAGUCAUUAAAGAACGAUUUUCGGUUUAUAGUUAUGUUUAAUGUUGUGGAACAGCAGUGAAACAAGUUCCUGUUAACGCUUACAUUAUAGCAGCUGUAAACAGCUGUUUAUAGCCUCAUUUUUGAAGUUCAAAAGAAAAUAAAUGCAGCUUGUCAUGUUACCGAGAAAGCUCAAACCACAACUACUUCUGACCGUUACAAAGUACUGACACGGAGACUCUUUCUAGAAAUGGUUAACAAACAUCACCCCAGAGAAAGCUGCUCCAUAUCAACGAUUAUAUUUGUUUUAAUCCAUUUAUGUGGUGUGUCCACCAUAAAUCCCUGUGAAUGAGUUAUUAUAGAAACAACAAAGUUUUAGAAUCAGCACAUUAAUAUAAUCGUGAACUACUGUCAGAGCUUCUGUUCUAGAAAAUUAACUAACAUCUUCUGACCAAUCAG